rnacentral:lncRNA from 1 species
UUCAGUAAUGAUGAUACUGAUAACUGACCACUGCUGCUUCCAUGAGUGUUCAUGGUCAUUUCAGGCAUGUUGUUGCACCCAUGUUGCUUUCUAUCCACAUAUAUAAUGUUUCUAGCUAAUGUGUAAGCAAAGAUCUAUUACUAAUAGUACUCAUUUUUCUGUUGUCAUAGCAUCAGUGUGAUCUCCUCAUUGAACGAGGCUCUGCAAAGAGAAAGCCACACAUCUUCAACUUUAAACCAAGAGAUAACUGAGAGAAAUAAAUGCUCCAAAUGGCAGAGUGUGUUCUGAUAAGCACUUGGGAGACCAGUCUUAGAAGGAGACUGGAACAGAGAUUAGACUGAGAAGAAUGGGAAAUAAUUGCUCAAGGCGUUGGUGUAUUUUCUGAAUGUACUCGUACGUCAUCAGAAUUAGAGGAAAAUUGCUGGAAUCGCAUGUGUUGCAGACGUCUGGCAGAAAUCACCAAGAGCUGUGGGGGUGUUACAUCUGUUCAUGGCUGAGGAUGGCCUCCAGAAGUACAUUUUUAUGUGCUUUCUCAAAGUCAUUCAGAGUGAUACCCGCUUCUUUAGACUCCUUUCAGAGGAUCCCAGGACCUGCUGCUUUAACUGGAGCCCUCAGCGAUGGUGGUUUUCUGCCACUCAGCAGAAACGUACCUAUUCUGACACUGAAUUCUGCUUGACAGAAAUUUCUCCCGAAGCUGAUAGGACUCAGAAGAGGUAACCUUCCGAGUGCUGCAAUGGCAAAGCAUUCCUGCCUUCCAUGACCAAAUCCAAGAACAACAAAAAGUGCCAAAAAAUGCUCUUGUAAGGUAUGCUUGAACCUUAGCAGGACUCUAAGAAACAUUCCCAGUAAAGAACAUAAUGGAU